AACGUGGGGGGCGGGUGCUGGGGGCCCAGGGAGAAGACGUGCACUAGGAAACCAACUGAUUCCAGGCAUCAUCAGAUGUGGGAACAGCAUCAGCACUGGUGGAUGAAUCUGCAUGAGUGGCUGGGUUCCUGGUCCCUUUCUCCAGGUGCUAGACAUUUAAAAUCUAAUGUGUGUGCGUGUGUGUGUGUAUGUGUGUGUGCAUGCGUGUGUACAUGUGUGCAUGUGUGUGCAUGUGAGUAUGCAUUGAGUGCACGUGUGUGUGCAGAUGUGUGUGCAUGUGCAUGUGUGUGCAUGUGUGUGUG
rnacentral:lncRNA from 1 species